UACAGGGGGUGCAAACGUUGCUCGGAAUCAUUGGGCGUAAAGCGCACGUAGGCGGUUCGUUAUGUCGGAUGUGAAAGCCCUUGGCUUAACCGAGGAAGUGCAUCCGAAACUGGCGAGCUAGAGUACGAAAGAGGAUCGCGGAAUUCCCGGUGUAGAGGUGAAAUUCGUAGAUAUCAGGAGGAACACCGGUGGCGAAGGCGGAUCUCUGGGCCAUAACUGACGCUGAGGAGCGAAAGCAUGGGGAGCGAACAGG
rnacentral:rRNA from 1 species